GAAAGUUGAAAAGAACUUUGAAGAGAGAGUUCAAGAGGGCAUGAAACUGUUAAGAGGUAAACGGGUGGGGUCUGUGCAUUCUGCCUGGAGGAUUCAACCUGGCGGGCUCGGUCAGCCAGCCCAGGAUGGAUCCCCCUCGCCCCCCCCUCUGCGGGG
rnacentral:ncRNA from 1 species